rnacentral:rRNA from 1 species
AACGAACGCUGGCGGCAGGCUUAACACAUGCAUGUCGAACGCCCCGCAAGGGGAGUGGCAGACGGGUGAGUAACGCGUGGGAAUCUACCGUGCCCUGCGGAAUAGCUCCGGGAAACUGGAAUUAAUACCGCAUACGCCCUACGGGGGAAAGAUUUAUCGGGGUAUGAUGAGCCCGCGUUGGAUUAGCUAGUUGGUGGGGU